AUCCUGGCUCAGGAUGAACGCUGGCGGCGUGCCUAACACAUGCAAGUCGAGCGGAGAUACAUGUCUAGGAGGCUUCGGCCAAAUUAAUUGUAUCUUAGCGGCGGAUGGGUGAGGAACACGUGGAGAACCUGCCCUUCACAGGGGGAUAACAGUUGGAAACGACUGUUAAUACCGCAUAUGCUCACAGUGCCGCAUGGCACAGGGAGGAAAGCCGAGGCGGUGAAGGAUGGCUCCGCGCCGGAUUAGCCAGUUGGCGGGGUAACGGCCCACCAAAGCGAUGAUCCGUAGCCGGCCUGAGAGGGCGACCGGCCACAUUGGGACUGAGACACGGCCCAAACUCCUACGGGAGGCAGCAGGUGGGGGAUAUUGCACAAUGGGGGGAACCCUGAUGCAGCGACGCCCGCGUGAAGGAGGAAGUGCUUCGGCAUGUAAACUUCUAUCAGCAGGGAAGAAGAUGACGGUACCUGCACAAGAAGCCCCGGCUAACUACGUGCCAGCAGCAGC
rnacentral:rRNA from 1 species